UGGGGAAUAUUGGACAAUGGGCGCAAGCCUGAUCCAGCCAUGCCGCGUGAGUGAUGAAGGCCCUAGGGUUGUAAAGCUCUUUCACCGGUGAAGAUAAUGACGGUAACCGGAGAAGAAGCCCCGGCUAACUUCGUGCCAGCAGCCGCGGUAAUACGAAGGGGGCUAGCGUUGUUCGGAUUUACUGGGCGUAAAGCGCACGUAGGCGGACUAUUAAGUCAGGGGUGAAAUCCCGGGGCUCAACCCCGGAACUGCCUUUGAUACUGGUAGUCUUGAGUUCGAGAGAGGUGAGUGGAAUUCCGAGUGUAGAGGUGAAAUUCGUAGAUAUUCGGAGGAACACCAGUGGCGAAGGCGGCUCACUGGCUCGAUACUGACGCAGAGGUGCGAAAGCGUGGGGAGCAAACAGG
rnacentral:rRNA from 1 species